GAUGAACGCUGGCGGCGUGCCUAAUACAUGCAAGUCGAGCGAACAGACGAGGAGCUUGCUCCUCUGACGUUAGCGGCGGACGGGUGAGUAACACGUGGAUAACCUACCUAUAAGACUGGGAUAACUUCGGGAAACCGGAGCUAAUACCGGAUAAUAUAUUGAACCGCAUGGUUCAAUAGUGAAAGACGGUUUUGCUGUCACUUAUAGAGGGAUCCGCGCCGCAUUAGAUAGUUGGUAAGGUAACGGCUUACCAAGGCAACGAUGCGUAGCCGACCUGAGAGGGUGAUCGGCCACACUGGAACUGAGACACGGUCCAGACUCUUACGGGAGGCAGCAUUAGGGAAUCUUCCGCAAUGGGCGAAAGCCUGCCGGAGCAACGCCGCGUGAGUGAUGAAGGUCUUCGGAUCGUAAACCUCUGUUAUUAGGGAAGAACAAAUGUGUAAGUAACUAUGCACGUCUUGACGGUACCUAAUCAGAAAGCCACGGCUAACUACGUG
rnacentral:rRNA from 1 species